ACUAGUUCCGCGCGCGUUCAACUCCAUUAGAGAGGGCGCGCGAUUCAGCCAGUUAUUGGUGAUUCCUUAGUGGUUGUGCGUCCGACCGACUUCAGGAAACGCGAAGAUCCGAUAGAGGAGGCGCCGCCGAUCUUAAGGUUGCUGCGGCUCUUCCCAAAGUUGGUCAUAUUCAGUUAAGAAAAUCAGCUGAACGGGGGUGACACAUUGUUUAGGAAUUGUGGCGUUUGUCACCCGCGGCGUCGGAUUAGUUCAGGGAGUGCACGAUCAGUUGCUGGUGAGAGCUAUCGUGAGAAGGUUGUGCUGGCUGGGGUGCCCCCUGGAAGGAUACUCCACCGCUGACUGGAGGAUUUAGGUGGUCUAGGAAGAGUAGGAAUUAGUGCAGAUUAUAGUGGUGCAUCGAUGUGACAAUAAAGAUUUUUAUUUUGUGCUGUU